ensembl:lncRNA
AAAAAAUUAUAAAAACAAAAAAAAUAACAAAAAUAUUAUUCUCAUUUACCUGUGUUAGUUUUUAAAAAAAGGUUUUAAAUGUUUGUACCAUUUAUUAAUGUUGAUUGAAAUAUAUGCACACAACAUAAAAUAAAAUAAAACAAUUUUAAAGAUAAAAUAAAGAGAAUGUGAAUGUAAUGGGUUAAUGUAUACAUAUAUAUGUACACAUGUAAUUAUGUGCAUAUUAUUUUACUUGGACAAGAGAUAAAAAAAAAAGCUUAAUUAGUAUAAACGUGUAUAUAUAUAUAUAUAUAUAUAUAUAUAUGUAUAUUUUCAGAUCUAAAUAUAUAACAUUAUAUCCAUUAUGAAAAAAAAAAAAAAAAUAGGAAAAAAAAAAAAUAGGAAAAAAAAAAUAUGGGAAAAAAAAAAAAUGGGGAAAAAAAAUGUGAUACCCUAUAAAUAUAUUGCAUAUUGGCAAUUAAUAAAAAAAAAAAAAAAAAAACUUGUUUCAUGAAAACUUCAAACAAAAUUUUCUAUAAAACACAUACUUUUUUAUUUAAUUAAAAAAAAAUGGAUAUAAAUAAAAUAAUAAAAGAGUAAAAAUGCAAAAAUGCGUUAAAUGUAGGUGUAGGGAAAAGGGGUAAACAGAAAAUGAUAAAAAAAACAAUAAAGUAUAAAAAAAAUAGAGUACAUAUAUAUAUUUAUGUGACAAGUUCUUAGACAUACAUAAGAACGAACAACUGAUAUUCACCAAAAUAAAAACCAAAAAAAAAAAAAAAAAAAAUGAAAUAUAUUUGUAUAUACAUCUUUGUAUUUUUAGUUUUGUUAAAACAUAAGUAUUGUAACAAAAUAAAUCGACAAAAUUUGUUUUUAUUUUUGAAAAGCAACCCUUCUUACAUUUUUAAAAAAAAAACAUAUAUACAAACAAAAUAUUACAACAUAAAAAAACAUAAAUACAACUAUAACAAAUUAAACAAUACAAGAUCAGUUCAAGUAGGAGAAUUAAAAAUAGGAGAAAUUUAUGACAUAAAAAAUAAUAAUAUAUAUGUAAAAUUAAAAAAUAAUAAUGAGAAUAAUACAGUUAUUAUAAAGAAAGAAAAUAAUUACUUAUUGAAAGAUGAAUUAUUAUAUGAUUAUCUUUUUAAUUCAAACUUAAUAGAUAAUGUGUUAUACAAAAAAUUGAUGAAAAAUAUAAAGCGACCUUAUACGGAUGAACAAGAAAUUGUAAAAAAUGAAAAACAACAUGUUAUACCUGAGGAGACCCAUGAUGAUACACUUGAUGGUACACCUGAUGGUACACCUGAUGGAGUAAAAGACUGUAUUGUACUUAUCAAAGAAAUAAACGAAAAUGAUGAAAUCGUAGGUGAAUUGUAUUUAAAUGAAAUAAUAAAAAGAAAAGAAAGGAUUUAUAACAAGUUAGAAGAGUUAAAAGAUUUGGAAAAACGAAUACCUAUUAAAAUUUUAAAAAAUGUAAGAAAUAAAUAUUUCAUGGUAUUAAUUAAUGACUGUAUAAAAGGUUAUUUAUUAUAUGAUAAUAAGGAUGAUAAUAAUAAAGAGUUAUAUAUGUUACUUGUAGAUAAUUUAAAAAAGAAAAGUUUUACAGAAAAAUUAAGUGCAUAUAUAAUAGACGUAAAUAAAAAACUGGAAUAUGUUUUUUUAUCAUUAAAAAAAUAUCCAUAUAAUAUGUUAAACGAUAUGUUGUCAACCUUACAACAUACUAUUGUUAUAGAAAAUUUAUUUGAUAAUUAUUUUUUUAAAGCAGAGAUAAGUGAUUAUUGUAAUGAUGGGAAUAAUAUUAUAGUAAAAAUUUUUGAAAAUAAAAAUAAUACAAUACAUGUAAAAAUCAAAUCACAUAAUAUAAUUAACACAAGAAAUAUUCUUAGAAAUUUUGACUAUUUAAAAAAUAAAGUUAUAACACAUGGGUUUGCGACAUCAGGAGGUAGUGGUGGUGGUAGUGAUAUAUCGUAUGAAGAUCGAUAUAGCAAACGUGACAAAUAUAAUAAACGUGAUAAACGUGGCGAAGAAGGUAACAUGUUUGAACAAAAAACAAAUAGUAGGAUGGUAAAAAAGGAUUACAUAAAUAAAUUUAAAGAGUAUAAAACUAAAUUUUAUGGAUGUAAAGAAGAAGAAGCAUUAAAAUAUAUUAAUGUUGAUGGUUAUAUAUAUAAUAAAGAAAAAGUAUUAUAUGUCCGAAUUGUUAAUAAAACGUUAGAUCCAAACUUAUAUGAAGGAAGUAUGAUACGUUCUGAUUAUAUAGAUCAGCAUACUUAUGAUCUUAUAAAAAAAAUUGCUAGUAAACAAAAUGUUAUAUAUUCUUAUGAUACUAAAUUAAGAUACCCUUCUAAAGUGCUUGGUUUUUUUAAUAAUUAUGUUAUAUUAUCUACUAAAGUUUUGAAUAUAAUUAAUAAUAGUGGUGAUAAUAGUGGUGGUAA